rnacentral:rRNA from 1 species
GGUUUGAUUAUGGCUCAGAUUGAACGCUGGCGGGAUGCUUUACAUGCAAGUCGAACGCGCAGCUGGACUUCGGUCUGGUGGCGAGUGGCAGACGGGGUGAUGGUAUCGGAACGUGCCUAGUAGCGGGGGAUAACUACGCGAAAGCGGCUAAUACAUACUCGCCCUUCGGGAAAGCGGGGACCCCUUCGGGCCUCGCACUAUUAGAAACGGCCGAUAUCGGAUUAGCUAACUGGUGGGGUAACAGCUCACCAGGGCGACGAUCCGUAGCUGGUUUGAAGGGACGACCAGCCACACUGGGACUGAGACACGGCCCAGACUCCUACGGGAGGCAGCAGUGGGGAAUUUUGGACAAUGGAAACCUGAUCCAGCCAUCCCGCGUGCCGAUGAAGGCCUUCAGGUUGUAAAAGCACUUUGGCAGGAAAGAAACGGCACGGGAUAAUACCCCGUGCAACUGACGGUACCUGCAGAAUAGCACCGGCUAACUACGUGCCAGCAGCCACCGCGGUAAUACGUAGAGGUGCAGCCGUUAAUCCGGAAUUACUGGGCGUAAAGCGUGCGCAGGCGGUUCAGAAGAAAGAUGUGAAAUCCAGAGCUUAACUUUGGAACUGCAUUUUAACUACCGAGCUAGAGUGUGUCAGAGGAGGUGGAAUUCCGCGUGUAGCAGUAGAAAUGCGUAGAUAUGCGGAGGAACACCGAUGGCGAAGGCAGCCUCCUGGGAUAACACUGACGCUCAUGCACAAGCGUGGGAGCAAACAGGAUUAGAUACCCUGGUAGUCCACGCCUAAACGAUGUCAACUAGCUGUUGGGGCCUUCGGGCCUUGGUAGGCGCAGCUAACGCGUGAAGUUGACCGCCUGAAUCUGGUCGCAAGAUUAAAACUCAAAGGAAUUGACAGGGACGCACAAGCGGUGGAUGAUGUGGAUUAAUUCGAUGCAACGCGAAAAACCUUACCUACCUUGACUGUGUCUGGAAUCCCGAAGAGAUUUGGGUGCUCGCAAGAGGGCCGGAACACAGGUGCUGCAUGGCUGUCGUCGCUCGUGUCGUGAGAUGUUGGGUUAAGUCCGCAACGAGCGCAACCCUUGUCAUUAGUUGCUACGAGGGCACUCUAAUGAGACUGCCGGUGACAAACCGGAGGAAGGUGGGGAUGACGUCAAGUCCUCAUGGCCCUUAUGGGUAGGGCUUCACGUCAUACAAUGGUCGGGACAGAGGGUCGCCAACCCCGCGAGGGGAGCCAAUCCCAGAAACCCGAUCGUAGUCCGGAUCGCAGUCUGCAACUCGACUGCGUGAAGUCGGAAUCGCUAGUAAUCGCGGAUCAGCAUGUCGCGGUGAAUACGUUCCCGGGUCUUAGCCACCGCCCAAAUGCACCAUGGGAGUGGGUUUGCCAAAUGAGUCUUAGCUAUGUCGUAAGGAGGCGAUUACCACGGUAGGAUUCAUGACUGGGGUGAAGUCGUAACAAGGUAG